GUUAGGAAUAUUGGACAAUGGGCGCAAGCCUGAUCCAGCCAUGCCGCGUGAGUGAUGAAGGCCUUCGGGUUGUAAAGCUCUUUAGCCGAUGAUUAUAAUGACUGUAGUCGGAAAAUAAGCCCCGGCUAACUUCGUGCCAGCAGCCGCGGUAAUACGAAGGGGGCGAGCGUUAUUCGGAAUCACUGGGCGUAAAGCGUGCGUAGGCGGCUUUGCAAGUUGGGAGUGAAAGCCCAGGGCUCAACACUGGAAUUGCUCUAAAAACUGCAAGGCUGGAAUGCGGGAGAGGAUAGCGGAAUUGUCGGUGUAGCAGUGAAAUGCGUAGAUAUUGACAGGAACACCAGUGGCGUAAGCGGCUAUCUGGACCGAUAUUGACGCUGAGGCACGAAAGCGUGGGGAUCAAACAGGAUUAGAAACCCCAGUAGUCC
rnacentral:rRNA from 1 species